rnacentral:lncRNA from 1 species
CCGUGCUCGAUUGUUCUUCCUGGUUACAUCAUUUGUUGUGGCAGUCUCCUUGGUCGCAGGUCUAAAUGCAUUUCUAAUAUCCCGCAAUGAACUUUGAUCUGCCGCAGAGCCCGGCGACAGUCACAGAGAUAUCUCCUAUCUCCCUCCACGGGUUCGCUCUCGUCCCGGUGACCAGCUUGGGGGCGGGGGGUGAACCGGGGAGCCUCGACAUUGCACCUGGCUCCGGAGUGAUACAGGUGUUGUGCCGAAAAUCUCCCCCCCUGACAGAAUUCGCCCCCCCCCCCCUUUCUAAUUUCCUUAAUUUUGUGACUAGAGUCAAAUACCUUCUGUUGCACACAUCAGAGUCAAACACUUUAUAUAGAACAAACCGAAAUUAAUUAUUAAUGUAUCUGUGUUAUUAAACAUAGAGGGAGUAAAAUGUUGGCAAGCAAAAAACAUUUCAGAACAACUAUGGCUGAAUUAUUAUCCUUACACUUUCAAAAAUACUAGUCGAAUAAGACAUGGGAGAGAUGAUGAAUUUUGGCAAAGAGAUUAAUUUAUAGACUAAUACAAAUCAGUAGCGGAUUUAGGUACGGGCGACAUGGACAACCGUCCAUAGCCAAACCGAAAACUGCAGACAAAAAUGGUUUCUGCUACUAAGAUCAGUGAAAUGUAGGCUAAACUGACAACGGAGUGAAAAGCAGAAAUCUCAACUAGCAAGCAAGUCGCAGCAAUGAAGAACGAGAAGGGCAGGGGGGAGAUUGUCGGCACAACACCGGCCGAGGAUGGGACAACACCACCUGUCGCCUUCAUUGCUGGGAAUUGUAUGCGUCCCCACAGAAUCUGACCCUCAUGGUACCAGUGUGUCCUACCUGGGUCAGUUGACCUCAGAGGCAAGACCUGAACUGCAGUCAGAUGCCCCUCCACAGCCCCUCCUGCUCCAAGACAACAUGUCAUCCCUCCAUACCAGUAUGGAGCUCCUCAAGGGGGAACCCCACAGCCCUGCCACCCAGCCCCUGUCUCCCCUCCCUCCCCUGGGCCUGAUGGUGUCCCUGGACCCCUGUCUGCUGCUGGAGGAGGACCAGGAACCACUGGAGUUUCAUACUCAGAUUGAACCAAAGAAACGGAAAAGGUGGCUGGCCGAAGAAGAGGAAACCUCAGAGAGAGUUAACAACACCCAUAGCUCCAACAACAGGGAAUGUUAUUUUUGUGAAUGAGAAGAGAAGCUGCAGCUGAGAGAGGAGCACCUGGACCUCCCUUUCACUGAGAUCAGCCACAUGCUGGGGCUGCAGUGGUCCCAACUGGGCCCCAACGACAAGCAGAAGUACAACCAAGAGGCAGAGAAGGACAAGCAGCACUACAUCACAGGGCUGACAGACUACCAGAACACUGAGGCAUACAAAGACUUCCUCCGGAGGAAAGCCCUGAGCAGAGGACCAAAGCUCUAUGUUGACCCCAGGGAGUUGACAUUGAGAUGGAGGAGGAGACCAUGGCUUUGAAUCCCAUAGAUAGGAGUUUGAGAAGGACACAGGCAGCCAACAGCAGGCUCCAGAGAUGGAGAGAGGCCCUGUGGAGGAGGAAGAGGAGGAGGAUGAUGAAGAGGAGGCAGAGUUGGCUCGUACGUUGGGUCUGUCCUCGCUGGACUUCAGUGUGCUGCAGGAGCUGCUGCUCAGACAUAUGAAGCGAGCGCAAAAAGUGUGGAGUCUGAGAUGCAGGUUCUCAGGGCCUCCAGGGAGAGCCUGGACUGUCAGCUCCACACCCUCACCAUGCAACCACUGCUGUUCCACACAGACAGAGGUGGCAGAGAAAAAGAGAGGGAAUGAGAGGGAAGUGAGAGAUAGAGGGAAAUAAAAAGAGAGAGACAGAAAGAGUGGGAGAGAGAGCGAGAGAGGAAAGAGGGCAGCAGUUCUAUAAAUGAAACCUGAUUAGUAGAUUACUGCAUCCAGUUGGAGGGGAUGUGGGUGUUUACUGCUCGGGCACUUUCCAUUCACACUCUGUGACACAAACACACACACACUUUCUGUCUAGUACCUUUGCUCUUGUGUUUCUGAAUGCACACAAAAACCCACCCACACACUCACACACACACGUUUGGUAUUACUGUGCUUUGUGGGGACCUACACAUUGUUUCCAUUCAAAAUAAGAUUUUCCUUAACCCUUAACCCUUAAACCUAACAUUAACCCUAACCCUAACUCAUAACCCUAAACCUAACCCUAAAAUAGCCUUUGUCCUCUUGGGGACUUGGGAAAUGUCCCCAGGUGGGAGAAUGUUCCUUGUUUUACUAUCCUUGUGGGGAUUUCCAGUACCCACAAGGAUAGUAAUAUAAGUCCACACACACACACACACACACACACACACACACACACACACACACACACACACACACACACACACACACACACACACACACGGAUUGGGUAAUAAACUCAAGCCGGAGGUUUGGAAUAAUUUGCUUGUUAUGAGGCCAAUCCCUUUCAUUGUGCUAAUCUCCAUCAGGGUGUUAGGUCUUCACCCAGCCAGGCCAGGGAGGGUUACAGAUGGAGAACAGCAGGGCUGGAGCUAGCAUCAGUUACUUAGUGGUUCAUGGUAGAGAUCACAGUGGUGUUUUGUUCCAGACAAUAGACUCUCUGACCCUCCUAUCAGCCCUAACAUCCUUUCCUUGUCCCUGUCAGGUGGUGACUGGUUUAAAACAAUAGGACAGGGUCCAGCCUCAUGUUAGGUAUUCACUGUAUUGAUGUCACCUAUUAUACAGUUCAUUCAGAUCAGGGAUCAGGAAGGAAUGGCGAUUAAGAAAAAGAUAGAUGUAGACUAUGGUAACAGAAAUAUGAUCUGUAUUCAAUAGAAAGAGUUACAGUAUUUACAGAACUGACGCUGCCCUGUCUCUAGGUAACAGGCUUCUGCAGAAACAGGCUCUGCCCAUCGCUGCCCUGACGAAUUGAUGAGCAGAGCCGCACAGGAAGAAGGGAACCUCGGGUAACCAUAGCAACCAGCCAGGGGUCGUGUGAGAACGGCUCUGGGAGAAGAGGUGGAUGAUGAAGAUGAGGAUAAAGGAUGCAGCCCGGGAGAAAGAAUGGAGGCACUUCAAACAAGGACCGCAAGGGGCGGACCGCAAGGGGCGGACCGCAAGGGGCUGACCGCAAGGGGCUAGUCACCUACAGCUGGCAGCUGUACACGUCUGUUUUUGUUCUGUUUGUGGAUUUGAGUGUUCCUUUGGUUUUGGGGUGGUUUUAUUUGUUUUGAGCGAUAAGUCAGUUCUCACAGCUUUAAGUCUUUUGUAAACUGUUGCAAUGCUAAUGCACACAUACACUACCUAUGUUUGUUGCUAGUGAGUAUGUGCGCAGUAGAAUGUUGCUUAGUUAGCAGCUUUGGUAUAGGACACUGCAUUACAACACCGGGGCAGUGUGUAUGUAUAGUCUAUGUAGCAGCAUGUACAGGCUUUGUUAAAUGUUUUCUUAACAUUGUAAUGAACACACUAGAAUGUUUACUUUCCAACCACUGAAACAAAUAUACCCAUUCCAUUUCCUAUCCUGAGCCCACGUGUUGUUCCCUGCACUGGCCACACAGUAGCUUUUUAUCUUGAUUCUGAUCUAGAUAUUCUAGCUCUGUGUUUUUGUUCUCAUACACUGUUAACUUCACAGACGGCGAUCUGUUUACAUUCCGUUAGGUCUUUGAAUGGACAGGGACAUUCCGUUAGGUCUUUGAAUGGACAGGGACAUUCCGUUAGGUCUUUCAAUGGACAGGGACAUUCCGUUAGGUCUUUCAAUGGACAGGGACAUUCCGUUAGGUCUUUGAAUGGACAGGGACAUUCCGUUAGGUCUUUCAAUGGACAGGGACAUUCCGUUAGGUCUUUCAAUGGACAGGGACAUUCCGUUAGGUCUUUCAAUGGACAGGGACAUUCCGUUAGGUCUUUCAAUGGACAGGGACAUUCCGUUAGGUCUUUGAAUGGACAGGGACACUCCGUUAGGUCUUUGAAUGGACAGGGAC